rnacentral:rRNA from 1 species
UGCGAUACGUAAUGCGAAUNGCAGGAUUCAGUGAGUCAUCGAAAUUUUGAACGCAUAUUGCACUUCCGGGUUAGUCCUGGAAGUAUGCCUGUAUCAGUGUCCGUA